rnacentral:rRNA from 1 species
GACGAACGCUGGCGGCGUGCUUAACACAUGCAAGUCGAACGGAAAGGCCCUGCUUUUGUGGGGUGCUCGAGUGGCGAACGGGUGAGUAACACGUGAGUAACCUGCCCUUGACUUUGGGAUAACUUCAGGAAACUGGGGCUAAUACCGGAUAGGAGCUCCUGCUGCAUGGUGGGGGUUGGACAGUUUCGGCGGUUGGGGAUGGACUCGCGGCUUAUCAGCUUGUUGGUGGGGUAGUGGCUUACCAAGGCUUUGACGGGUAGCCGGCCUGAGAGGGUGACCGGCCACAUUGGGACUGAGAUACGGCCCAGACUCCUACGGGAGGCAGCAGUGGGGAAUAUUGCACAAUGGGCGGAAGCCUGAUGCAGCAACGCCGCGGGCGGGAUGACGGCCUUCGGGUUGUAAACCGCUUUCGCCUGUGACGAAGCGUGAGUGACGGUAAUGGGUAAAGAAGCACCGGCUAACUACGUG